UAUAGCUGGGGCUGUGACUAACAAUAAUAACAGGCGAAACUGUGACUUUGCCCCAGCCCCGGAACAAGAGGCCGCCCUGUCCCCAGAGUCAUGCAGAAGGCGCAUGGUGACUCACACCCUUGUAAUCCCUUUGCUGGGUUUCCCCCCACUCUGCAGGGAAGGAACUUUUUUUCUCUUCAAUCUUGGCACUGCACAUGGUCCCAGCCAUGCUGGUCCCAUAGCCAUUACAUGUGACAAGAGCGCGACUGCACUGAAACCCAUGGAUCAGAACCAAAGAGCACCCAAGAGAAGAUGCAUUAUUUUUUCUGGAGACUGCUGACAAAUACAAGGAAAAUCUGAAAUACAGGGUUACAAAUGGAAAAAAAAGAAAAAGAGUCCUGAGGUAUUUUCUUGUUUAAUAGAUAAAGUCUCAAGCACAAAGGCACUGUCAGAUCUUAUUUUUGCUUCAGAUGUGUGAAACCUUUUCUUCCUCACAUCGGAUUUAGUAUUUACUUAAAGAUAAGGAGGAAUCCUUUGAGGGAAAAAACGGUGAUUACCUGCUUGACAGACUUAUUCACUCAUUCACUGAGUCUUCCACUUCCUUCUGUGACCAGUGAAUUAAAUGAUGUGUAGUUGGAGCACCCCCAGCCAACAAGCAAAGAAGAGGCAGAUGAAGAUGCAGAAAGGACAAAGAGGAGAUAGUACUCCUGGAGAAAAAGUCAAGAAGUAGCUCAAAGGGAGAAAAAUUCUAAGGGAACUAAAGCAGGAAAGCUUUAGAAAAGCAGGAAAGCUUUAGAAAAACAGUUGUUUUUCUACACAAUUUUCCCAUCUGGGUCUCAGGUAUGAUUUAUACAAGCACAAUGAACUUCAAUGUUGCACUAGUUCUAGUUUUAUAUUUUUUGAUAUUUAUUUCCCUACCAAAACAAGCCAUCACAAACUCUCUGGGACAAAGACUUUAUACUAUAUGGUUUAAACAGUGGCUAGCACAUCUGACCCCAUCACCAGGAUGUGCUUUUGCAAACCAAACCCAAUAGGAGAUGGUAAUUGGAGAUGAAACCCUGAAAU